AUAAUUAUCGAUUAACAGUCACUAAUCACCACACUUAAGACCAAUGUUGACAAUGGGUCGGUGGUGUGGUGGACCAAGACUCUGCAGGCCAAAGCAAUCAGGCACCUAAUAAUUGGCACCUAAAGACAAGCCUGACCCAGUGGCACUGGAGCCAUGAGCGCAACGCCAAUUGUGGCCCUGGAAGUGUUGUUAAACCUCCCACACUUCAUUUUAAUCCAAGGAGAAGCCAGAGCAGCAGCCCACAGGUUCAUAAAUGGACAAUCAUCUGUAAGGAUAGGCCGUGUAAAUAAACAAUGAAAAGUGAGGGAGGAGAUACAGGCAAUUGCCAUUUUAGGCAUGCCAAUCGAUGCCACUACUCCAAAAUACUAAAAUUUACAUGGUUCUAAUACCAGAAUAGGAAGAAUGGACCAAAUGAACACUGCUAAAGGCAACCUCCUACUGGUACACUGACAGCUCCAAACCGACAAGGCUCGGUAACUGGAGUCUUCGGGAUGAACCCAAAGACCGAACUGACAGUAAACCUAGGUAAAUAUGCAGUCUGAAAUUAUAGCGAUUGAACACUGCGCCAGAGAAAUAAAAAGGCUAGGAAUACAUUCCUAGGAAGAUAACCAUUUUCUCUGACAUCAGGCAGCACUAAGGGCCCUAGCCUCAUGCGGAGCAAAGUGUUUGGAACUGCACGGAGGCCCUGACGGAAGUCAGUGACACUAAUGACCUGACCCUGGUAUGUGUUCCAGAGCACUCAGGGCAUAGAGAGUAGAGACAAUGAAAAGGUUGACAUGCUGGUCAACUGGGGAGCCAACAUGGGCUCCAGGUCCUAAACCCUACUGUGGUUUAGCAUCCUGUCGCAAAAGAGGAUAAUGGAUCCUUAAUGAGUCCAAAACCUGGUGGAACAAUACUACAGGUAUGAGGCACGCGAAGAGCUUCUUAGAAGGGCUUACAAAAGGAUUACUGGAAGGCAACCACAACCAAACCAGGAUUCUGGUUGGACUCCUGACAGGGCAUUGCUUCUUAAGCAGAAAGAAGAUAGGAGUACAGACAGAAGAAGUAUUGUGCAUAUACUGCUAGGACGAGAGGAGGAGUCCACAGAACACUAUGUUUCUGUGAAGGUAGGUGCAGGUUCUUGCAACUAGGACAAGCAAAACAACAAGCAAGAUCCUUCACUAAGGAGCAGCUGGCAAAGCUGUGGAGGCUGAUUAACAACCUGAAGCUGGCCAAUGAGUUAUAAAAACAGGGGAGCACAAUAGAUCUAUUCAGGUCGAGGUGAAAAAGGCCCUGUGGCCGCGUCUUUUAUCCUUCUAUGAAAAACAGGUAAGAUGAGAAUAAUUUAAAAAUAUCAAUUGUGCAUUCACUUCAUGUUAUAACCACAAAUCUUUACAUGUCUUGAUAUGUUUAAUGUCUCCAAAAGCCAAUUUACCUGUAUUUUUUCAUCAAUAUGACUGAUAUUUUUAUGUCUAAACAAAAUUCAUACAUUUACAUGCUUCAACUUUGUAAGAAUUAAGGAAAUUUGUUUUUGUUAACAUAAUUCAGACAAGCAUUUUCAAACUAGCUUUAGGCUUAUAGGACAUUUUGUAAUGCAGAUAAACGAACCUCCAAUUAUUGUACAAUAAUGAAGAAUGAUUAGGCUGAUUUACAAAAGUCACACAUUUUAGCACAAUGGAUUAUUAUAAUAAAUUCUAAUGAUAGUAUGGAAUAGAAAAUAUAAGCUGUUUAAUUUUGUACAACAAAAUAUAAUUGGCUACAAAAACUUUCAAUACCGUGAAAUUUUGUGUUUUAAUUAUAAUUAUAUAUAUAAAUUUAGAUAACUUUCCUUUAAUAGAUAAUUUCCUGCUCUUAAUUGUGUUAUAUAAUUAAAAAUACCAAAAUGAAAGUUAAUAAUAUUUCAGGUGGUCAGUCAGAAAAAUAUUGAAUCACCUCGCCAUGCCAAUGCUGGAUUUUCGAUAGUGUCAGAAAAAAAAUUUAAAAAUACAAACAUAAUAAAUGAUAUUUAAAUGGAAGUCAAACGACCUAACUACAGAUUUUUUUCUUUUUUUUUCAAGUAAUAAAACGGUGAUCAACCUCCUCAGGUUUUAUUACACCUUACAACUCAUAACCUUACAUACUUUAUGACAGGGUGGUUAAGCAGCUCUGCGUACAGACAAAACGGUGAGCACCAACAACACAAUGCAAUUUGAGAACUUUUACAUGACAUGACAAGCAUUACAUCAAUAAUUAACCAAAUUUGCAUUUUAAAUUAUUAAUUUAACAAGAAAGCUGAUUAUGAAAUAAAAAUUAUAAUAAAGGAUAGUUUCAUAACAUUAAAGGUCUUCAAAGAUUUCUGAUUAACAAGAUAAUGAAUUUUUUUAAUACGUUUUUGCAUAUGUACAGAACAGCUCAUGUUAACUGCUUAAUGAGAAAGAAAGAAAAACACCUCCUUUAAGAAUGCCACCAACAGGUUCACAGAAAGAUCUAGAACGGAAGAUGGUAAGGAGGCAGGAGUAUUUGGUCCUGGAAUCAAAUACUCAGAACCCACAGGAAAAUACACCAGAAUCAUCUGAGCUGAGGUUCACACAAUUGAUAGAUGUACCCAAUUCAAUCUAAGUAAAGGAUACAAAAAUGAGAAUAUAGCUAUCCUAUCAGAUAGCCAAGCAGCCAUCAAAGCGCUAAGUUCAGAUAUCAUUACCUCUAAGGUGAUAAAUGGGCAAAUACCCCAGUAUCUUCCAGGCUGAAGUCCAUGCAAUCGAGAGAUAGAUACCUAGUUCAAUUUGAACAAAGGGUUCAAAAAUAAGAAUACUUUAUAAAGAGGAAUGAUGUCUAAUAGCCAAGCAGCCAUCUAAGCAUUAAGUUCAGACAUCAUUAGCUCAAAGAUUGGGCAAGUACCUAAAUAUCUUCCAGGCUGAAGUUCAUACAAUCGAGAGAGAGAGAUAUAUAUCUAGUUCAAUUUGAACAAAGGGUUCAAAAAUAAGAAUACUUUAUAAAGAGGAAUGAUGUCUAAUAGCCAAGCAGCCAUCUAAGCAUUAAGUUCAGACAUCAUUAGCUCAAAGAUCGGGCAAGUACCUAAGUAUCUUCCAGGCUGAAGUUCAUACAAUCGAGAGAGAGAUAUAUACCCAGUUCAAUUUGAACAAAGGGUUCAAAAAUAAUCAAAAAUAAGAAUACUUCAUGAAGAGGAAUCAUGUCUAAUAGCCAAGUAGUCAUCAAAAUGCUAAGUUCAGACAUCAUUAGCUCAAAGAUGGGAAAUACAUAAAUAUCUUCCAGUCUGAAGUCCAUACAAUCGAAAGAUAUAUAUACACAGUUCAAUUUGAACAAAGGGUUCAAAAAUAAGAAUACUUCAUGAAGAAGACUCAAGUCUAAUAGCCAAGUAGUCAUCAAAACGCUAUGUUCAGACAUCAUUAGCUCUAAGAUGAUAAAAUGGGCAAAUACCCCAGUAUCUUUCAGGCUGAAUUCCAUGCAAUUGAGAGAUAUAGCCAGUUCAAUUUGAACAAAGGGUUAAAAAAUAAGAAUACUUCAUGAUGAGGAAUCAUGUCUAAUAGCCAAGUAGUCAUCAAAACGCUAUGUUCAGACAUCAUUAGCUCUAAGAUGAUAAAUUGGCAAAUACCCCAGCAGUAUCUUCCAGGAUGAGGUCCAUACAUUCGAGAGAUAUACCCAGUCCAAUAUGAACAAAAGGUUCAAAAAUAAGAAUAUUUCAUGAAGAAAUUUCCUUUUCCCAAAUUCUUAUACUUUUGAAGUUCAUGCAAUCGAGAUAUACCCAGUUCAAAGGUGCUGAAUUGCAAAACUAAACUAAACAAAUUAGUUAUGCAAAACAAAGUCACCCUAUGCUGGGUCCCAGGACAAGUGGGAGUAGAAGGCAACGAGGCAGUGGGUGCCCAGCCAAAAAGGGCUGCUAUAUCCCUUAAAAGGAUCCGAUCCCUUCUUUGGCAUAGGAAUCCACAAUAUCAAUGAGCACCUCAGACAUUAUGAUAAAAGGAAAAUGAUGGAUAAUCCAAGAACUAACAAACUUUGGAAGGAAAGAGGUAACAGAAUGCAUUAAAGGAAGCAGAAAAGAACUGCGAAUCCUAACAGAAAAUAACAGAAAACUAAAUCGACAACAAAAGAACACUGGCAAAACCCAACACGGCACGUGCAGAUUCUGCAAAGAAGCAGAGGAAACACCAACACACCUACUGACAAACCGUGGUGCAACACUUGCCUGCAGGAGGAAGUGCUUUGGGAUGUACAUUGUAACCAUAGAAGAGAUUCAACCACUGAAACCAGGCCUACUAAUCAAAUUCCUUAAUGGUAUACAACUCACUGGUGUGCUAUAAGCACACAACGGGUGAUUCAACAGUUCUCAAAGGGUGCAAUAUAAUAAUAACCCCGAAUAAUACAUCUACAUCUAAUUGCUUAAUAAUUUAAUUUUUGCCUAGGAAUAAGUCCUAGGCAUGAUAAUUACAAUAUAACCACAACAAUUUAUGAGCCUAUAUUAAGCAUACAAACGCUGAUUGGGAAUAUGUGGGUAUUCUGUUGCUUUUUAGCAAAUAUUCAAUCAAUGCCUGUAUAGCAUCUAACAUAUGUAAAGAUAAUGAAUGGGUUAUAACUUGGUAAAUUCGGUUUAACCAUAAACAUAUUUGAUGAUUUUAUUUAUACCAUUAUUCUUGUGAUAAUUUUUAGGGUGAAAAUGUGCUGUCAUUGCCAAUAGGCUAAGGAUGUUUACCAAUCAACAGGAUUAUUGGAUAAUUAUUGAGAAAGUUAACCAUGAAACAGCUUAUGAUUAAAUUAUCAUACCUCAACAUAGUACAUCACAAUAUUUUGUUUAUUUCUCAAUCAAAGUAAAGUAAUUUCAGUGAUUACUGUCAUACCGGAGGGCUUAACAUCCAAUUAUUAGGUGUUGCAGAAAAGAGGUCAAACUAUUUUAUAAGACAUUUUCAUACGUUCAAUUAAAAAAUCAUGGGCUCUGCCCAGAUUUGAACCAAGAACCACUAGCAUGGCAAAAACCACUUGGCCACUGCGAUCCCCCUUUAUUUGUCAAUAAAAUGCUAAAAUACACUGAUUACUAGAAUAUAAAUAAAAAAUAAUUGCUUGUAAUCAUACAGGAAAAAGUAUAUGACCUUGGUAUGUAUAUCAGCCUACUUAAUAUUUUGAUUAAAUACAAUGCAGAUUUGGGACUGCCAUAAACAGCUUGGCUGUGAAACAAAGAUGUUUUCUAUCAGUAUGAUAAUUUGAUAGUUUGUACAAAUAUUUAUUCCAAACUAGACUAAAAUAAAGUACGAUUAGCAAUUGCACGUAGAAGAAGAUACUUUACAAACAGUUACCUUUUUGGGACAACAAUUUGUACUAAUCUGAGUACUAAAUUCCAUGAUACUGAUCAUUGUAAUAAUUGGAUUGUUGUCUUAAAUUUAAAAGGCCAAAGUCAUUGGUAUAGCAUAAUUGGACUAAUAUUUCCGUGUGCUUAAAAUAAAUGCCAGUCAAUAUUUGAAAUGUUAUUGAAAAACUAAUUGAAUAAAUGCCAAGAUUUGAGAACUGUAUGGAUCAAACUAGCUAAGCAUAAAAUAGCUAUUUGUAAUUGAUAAAUGUACCUCCCAAUCAACACGAUAAUUAUGUGGCUCGGAAAUUUUUAUUUUUCAAUAUAACUGCACAAAUUAAUUAGAGCGAAUCUGUGGGUAAAAUGCUGUUUUUUUGGGCUUAUAUGUCGUCAAAUCAGCAUGAUUGUUUUCAAUGCGUCCUAACAUCAUGCAAAGAACCAAAUUAUAGAGAUGCUGCAAAUAUAAAUCAAUUUGCCUAAAAACAAAGUCAAUUGCUUAAACCUGAUACAAUAAAUUGUAGUAAAGAUUAGAGAAUUCCCUAGCCAAAUAGCAUGUUUGCUGAGACAACAAUUUAAGGUUUAUGGUUUAAAAUAAGUUACGUGCCAGGCAGAGAUGCUUUCCAAUCAAUGAGAUAAACUGAUUUUUUUUAUAUGUAUUCACAGACUAUAAAAGUCAACUAUUAGGUAUCGUGGACACGGGGUCAAAUCACUUUCCAACCGUUAACCAACAUUUUCAUCUUUAAAAAUCAUGGGUUCUGAUAUGGAGGUAGGUGAUAUGGAUAUACAUGGAGGUACUGGUAGUAGAAAAAGAGUCAAACUAAGAAAACUCACGUUUGUUCAAUGUUUAAAUGCUACGAAAGCACUGGGUAAAUGUACAAGAACUACUUCAAGGAAGGAUGGCAGAUUUUAACAUAUCUGAACAUAAUGAAAAGAUCAUGACAUGGAGAUGUGGAAAUAUAUGCUGUUGACUUAAAAUAAGGUUCAUAACUUACACUAAUGAUUCGAUAUAAUUAAACAAAAAUACCCUCCAAUGGAAUACACAUUCAAAUAUGGUCCAAUCUGUUAGAUUUUAAAAUUAAACAAUUUCAUAUAAAAAACGUGUUACAGUUUUUCGGUAAAUUCUAUGAAUUCGAAAGGAGAACAAGAUGAACUUUGCCCUCCUUGGUACAAAACUAACGUCAAUAUGUACUGUACUAAUGACAUGAUAUAAUUAAACAAAAAUACUCUCCAAUGGAAUACACACUCAUAUAUGGCCGAUCGGUUAGAUUUUAAAAAUGAGAAAUUUUGUAUAAAAAAACAUGUUACAGUUUUUUGGUAAUUCUACGAAAUGCCAAAUAUGACCGAUCGGUUAGAUUUUAAAACUGAGAAAUUUUGUAUAAAAAAACUUGUUACAGUGUUUUUUGGUAAAUUCAAUGAAAUGCCUAUCCAGUUGGAAAGGAGAACAAGAUGAACUAUGCCCUCCUUGGUACAAAACUAACGUCAAUAUGUACUGUACUAAUCAUUUGAUAUAAUUAAACAAAAAUACUCUCCAAAGGAAUAUACACUCAAAUAUGGCCAAUCUGUGAAUUUUAAAAUUGAGAAAUUUUGUAUAAAAAAAGAUGUUAUAGUUUUUUUGGUAAAUUAUAUGAAAUGUCUGUCUGGUUGGAAAGGAGACCAAGAUGAACUAUGCCCUCCUUGGUGCAAAACUAGCAUCAAUAUUUACUGUAAGUUCGUAACUUACACUAGUGAUUUGAUAUAAUUAAACAAAAAAUAAAAAAUGCUCUCCAAUGGAAUACACACUCAAAUAUGGCCAAUCUGUUAAUUUUAAAACUGAGAAAUUUUGUAUAAAAAAAUAUUAGUUUUUUGGUCAAUUCUAUGAAAUAUAUGUCUGGUUGGAAAGGAGAACAAGAUGAACUAUGUCCUCCUUGGUACAAAAACUAACAUCAAUAUGUAAUGUAAGUUCAUAAAUUACACUACUGAUUUGAUAUAAUUAAACAAAAAUACUCUCCAAUGGAGUAUACACUCAAAUAUGGACAAUCUGUUAAUUUUAAAACUGAGAAAUUUUGUAUAAAAAAAGAUGUUAUAGUUUUUUUGGUAAAUUCUAUGAAAUGCCUAUCUGGUUGGAAAGGGUAGCAAGCAAAACUAAUAGCAAUAUGUACUGUACUAAUGAUUUGAUAUAAUUAAACAAAAAUACUCUCCAAUAUACACUCAAAUAUGGACAAUCUGUUAAUUUUAAAACUGAGAAAUUUUGUAUAAAAAAAGAUGUUAUAGUUUUUUUGGUACAUUCUAUGAAAUGCCUAUCUGGUUGGAAAGGGUAACAAGCAAAACUAAUAGCAAUAUGUACUGUACUAAUGAUUUAAUAUAAUUAAACAAAAAUACUCUCCAAUGGAAUACACACUCAAAUAUGGCCAAUCUGUUAGAUUUUAAAACAGAUAUUUUGUAUAAAAAAACAUGUUACAGUGUUUUUUUUUUGUUUUUUUUUUUUGGUAAAUUCUAUGAAAUGCAUAUCUGGUUGAAAAGGAGACCAAGAUGAACUAUGCCCUCCUUGGUACAAAACUAACAUCAAUAUUUACUAGAGUCGACAAAUCUGGAACGAUUGGACAAGAAGAGUCAUCCAAGUCAAAAAACGGAUAGCGCUAGGGUUAAGGAAAGCGUAUCGGCCCGGCGGGAUUCUCUCCCUGAGUGAAAAUGAAUUCCUGAUAAGUUGAAAACAGCGGAGACCCUGAAAGGGAGCCGUAAAGUAAAAAAAAUAUUUCACCGGCACGGGGGUCAGCGCUCGGAUCCGGGACAAAGGCUGGACGGCUUCCACGGUAAGACAGGACUCAAGCCGCUCGAGAACUGGAAAAAUAAAGUCCCGCUUUUCGAUUCCGCGUCAUUCGGAAAAUUUCUAAACCGAGUCUCGAAACCGUAAAAAGCGGAAAAUCGAAAAACAGUGGGUUAACCUUGAGUCGAGAAUGGAAACAAACAUUCCAUCCGAUGGAGGAAAAAACAUGAUAAAAAGGCUAUGCAACGGUCUCAGUAACAGUAAUAACUAAAAUAAAUGCUAAAUAGUGGCCGUCCAAUAUAAAA